rnacentral:misc_RNA from 1 species
UUUCCGUAGGUGAACCUGCGGAAGGAUCAUUACAGUGUUCUCUGCCCUCACGGGUAGAAACGCCCACCCUUGUGUAUUAUAUCUUUGUUGCUUUGGCAGGCCGCCCUCGGGCACCGGCUCCGGCUGGAUCGCGCCUGCCGGAGGAAACCCAAACUCUGAAUGUUAGUGUCGUCUGAGUACUAUCUAAUAGUUAAAACUUUCAACAACGGAUCUCUUGGUUCUG